GUGGAUGUAGCUCAGCUGGUAGAGCAUCCGGUUGUGGUCCGGAAUGUCGCGGGUUCGAGCCCCGUCAUUCACCCCA
rnacentral:tRNA from 1 species